UACGUAGGGGGCAAGCGUUUCCGGAUUUAUUGGGCGUAAAGAGCGUGUAGGCGGCUAGGUAGGUCCGCUGUGAAAACUUGAGGCUCAACCUCAAGAGGUCGGUGGAAACCAUCUGGCUAGAGUCCGGAAGAGGAGAGUGGAAUUCCCGGUGUAGCGGUGAAAUGCGCAGAUAUCAGGAAGAACACCCGUGGCGAAGGCGGCUCUCUGGGACGGUACUGACGCUGAGACGCGAAAGCGUGGGGAGCGAACAGG
rnacentral:rRNA from 1 species